GGAAAAAACUGGAUAACUAUUCAGAGCUGGCUGUGGUCACGACACUCACACCAACUUUUUGGAGUAAUAUGUGGAUCUUUAGCUGCUAAACGUCCAUCCAUGUUUACAAGGUAGUCGCUUAACUGCUGCAGCCGAAAACAACACAAUGAGAGGGAUGAGACGCACAACGAUGAGCAGAAAGGCGCUGUGAGAAUACCGCUGAAAAUGACUGAUAUUCUGCUUGAAGGGAGAUGGAUGGAAAACUAUUCAGCAACAGCGUGUGGAGCUGCAGCGUGCAUCCAAGCAUCACGCCCAAUUGGUGCAAGGUAAUUACUGGCCUGUUCGAGAGCCAGUGAGGAAAAAAAGUAUUCCAGUAUUUCACACGAAAGGUCAAGAUUGGAAAACAUUCCAAACAUUACAUUUCAAGAUAUACUGUGCAACAACUCUGCAUUAAAAUGUACAAAAAUGACACAUUUUAUGUUAUAUGUUUUGUUUAAUUGUGUACUUACCUCGUCAGAAAUGUUUCCAGCAAUAUUCAAACACAGAUGAAUCCUAAUUUUAUUCAAGGGACUGAUGCAUUUCAUUUGGUUGCAUGUCUUUAUAGCUUCCGGGGAAACAUCAGGUGAUUUGUCAGAGAAUGUGACUAAAACAUGACAUGAGUGAAAGUUUAAUACAUACUGUCCGAGUCAUAUGGAGCGAUCUUUAAUCAGCAAUGGUGGUAGUUUACUACUGAGGACAGCAGCUCCCAUGAUGAUCCCAUGCUACUUCACAUUUGCUGUGAAUAAAGUACAACUAGCUCUAACUUGCAGCAACAAAAGUGAAAAAAAACCUCCUGUAAUGCCAUAUAUAUUAAUACAUCAGAGGUAAUUUUCCUGCACAGUCAUUCUGUGUAAUUAUCUCUUCUUCUACCAGCAGCAAUGUAAAUUGAUUCUCACACAUUCAUGCAUUACUAAUUAUCACCCAGCAAUAUGUUAAGUAAAUAAUUAUACAAGAGUCACACUUGAGAUUUUUCUUCAUUAAGUUAAUUUUGCUGAUACGAUUUCUUUGCUUUACUACAUGA